ensembl:lncRNA
GUUUAAACUGUGUGUUUUUCCGAGGAGGAGCAUGUGUGCAUAUGUAUCUUGCAGUGAUGGGGAAAGAUGGGAAAGGGCCAAGCUACUCUGCUGGCUCAGGCUUCAUUAAGAGGUGUAAACAGAUCUCGGCAGGGCCCAGUGGCGCACACACACUCACACAUAUAUACGCACUGGCAUGGUCUAAUGGUAGGCCCCAAUCAGAUGCUGGCUUCUUGGUAAGCCUUGUGUGAGCUAAAGGCUUCAAGCAAUGGCAACUCAUUAAAACUGAGAUCCUGGAGCAACUGUCGCGCCACUAGCAACUGGAAGCAACCUCUUCCAUGAUAGGAGCAGACCAGCAUCCCAGACCCAAACAGCCUGAUGCAUUACAGCUCACACAUGCAAGGAUCAGACCCUUCCAAACAGCACAAUGUAUACUUGACA